AUGUCGCGCUGUCGUAACCUGGUACAAUUUCACUGGAAUAAAAUGACUCACAUGAAAUUUAAUACAAUAAAAUCCUUAAUUAUUUUAUUUAUAAAUCUUACCUAUGAAAGUCGGCUGGUACUGGCGCAGUGACGAAACUCGUCAUUGGCUUUUUACGAACCUGAUGUAUCUUGCGAGAAAGCUCGGCGCUCUUAACAAUCAACUCAGAACGCGUACAGAAUUUAAAGUUUAUCAAACAUAACAUACCACUUCUUGAACGAGGCUGAUCAAUUCCAUGAGUCGUCUAUUCAAUUGACCUACUUCCGCU